CGGGUGUCCUGUGAAGGGCCAGGAGUUGCAUUUGAUUAUCCUUGUGUGUCCCUUCCAACUCAGAAUAUUCUGUGAUUCUAUGAUUCUAAAGCUU